rnacentral:misc_RNA from 1 species
UCAAACUUGGUCAUUUAGAGGAAGUAAAAGUCGUAACAAGGUUUCCGUAGGUGAACCUGCGGAAGGAUCAUUAGUGAAAAAAAUCCGAGUGACCCUCGGUCUCACUUGCGGCCUCUUCCUCGGCUGUUGCGCCCGCCUUCGGGCUGCACGCCGCGGAGGGGUUGUAAUCCCACACACCUGUGCACCUUUCGAUGGGUGAGCGGAUUUCGCUCGCCUGUCGUCCUUCAUUGCAUUUGAAAGUCUAUGAAUGUCUUUACUUUUUGUAAUCGAUACAACUUUCAGCAACGGAUCUCUUGGCUCUCGCAUCGAUGAAGAACGCAGC